rnacentral:rRNA from 1 species
GGAGGAAAAGAAACUAACAAGGAUUCCCUUAGUAACUGCGAGUGAAGUGGGAAGAGCUCAAAUUUGAAAUCUGGCAGUCUCUGGCUGUCCGAGUUGUAAUCUAGAGAAGUGUUGCCCGCGCUGGACCAUGUACAAGUCUCCUGGGAUGGAGCGUCRUAGAGGGUGAGAAUCCCGUCUUUGACAUGGACUACCAGGGCUUUUGUGGUGCGCUCUCAAAGAGUCGAGUUGUUUGGGAAUGCAGCUCAAAAUGGGUGGUAAAUUCCAUCUAAAGCUAAAUAUUGGCGAGAGACCGAUAGUGAACAAGUACCGUGAGGGAAAGAUGAAAAGAACUUUGGAAAGAGAGUUAAACAGUACGUGAAAUUGCUGAAAGGGAAACGCUUGAAGUCAGUCGCGUUGGCCAGGGAUCAGCCUUGCUUCUUAGUGUGGUGUACUUCCUGGUUGACGGGUCAGCAUCGGUUUUGACUGCUGGAGAAAGGCUUGGGGAAUGUGGCAGCUCUGGCUGUGUUUAUAGCCUCCUGUCAGAUACAGUGGUUGGGACUGAGGAACGCAGCAUGCCGCAAGGCCGGGGCUAUAUCAGCCUACGUUCAUGCUUAGGAUGUUGACAUAAUGGCUUUA